rnacentral:rRNA from 1 species
CAUCACUUUUAUUUAAAGCUUUGGCGGUUAAAGAUGGGCAUGCGUGACAUUAGUUAGUUGGUGAGGUAACGGCUCACCAAGACUUCGAUGUCUAGGGGUUCUGAGAGGAUUAACCCCCACACUGGUACUGAGACACGGACCAGACUCCUACGGGAGGCAGCAGUGAGGAAUAUUGGUCAAUGGACGCAAGUCUGAACCAGUCAUGCCGCGUGCAGGAUGAAGGCCUUAUGGGUUGUAAACCUGCUUUAUACGGGAAUAAACUUAGUUACGUGUAACUAACUGCAGGUACCGUAUGAAUAAGCACCGGCUAACUCCGUG